rnacentral:rRNA from 1 species
GAUGAACGCUCGCUACAGGCUUAACACAUGCAAGUCGAGGGGAAACGACAUCGAAAGCUUGCUUUUGAUGGGCGUCGACCGGCGCACGGGUGAGUAACGCGUAUCCAACCUGCCCAUCACUUGGGAAUAACCUUGCGAAAGUAAGACUAAUACCCAAUGAUAUCCCACGAAGGCAUCGGAAUGGGAUUAAAGAUUUAUCGGUGAUGGAUGGGGAUGCGUCUGAUUAGCUUGUUGGCGGGGUAACGGCCCACCAAGGCAACGAUCAGUAGGGGUUCUGAGAGGAAGGUCCCCCACAUUGGAACUGAGACACGGUCCAAACUCCUACGGGAGGCAGCAGUGAGGAAUAUUGGUCAAUGGGCGAGAGCCUGAACCAGCCAAGUAGCGUGCAGGAAGAUGGCCCUAUGGGUUGUAAACUGCUUUUAUAAGGGAAUAAAGUGGGUCACGUGUGACUUUUUGCAUGUACCUUAUGAAUAAGGACCGGCUAAUUCCGUG